AUAUAUUUGUGAGAUAUGGAGUGUAUCCCUAGAAGCAGCUCCAGUUAUUUGAUAGAUUAGACUUAGAGGAACAGCAGAGUUAGUCCAUACCAGUCAGAUCUUGUGAACAGGUUGUACGCAGCUAUUUCCUGAGCUGUCAAACUGACACGGCUUGAUGUGAGAUGUCGUCUGUCCAAGUUAUUUUGCAUGCACACUACAGUGACGGACACAGGUUGGUC